ACCCUAAAAGUUACCCGCUUCGUCAUCAUCCUCAAACAACAUCUCCAUCUUCAUCGUUCAUCGUUCAUCACUCAUGCCUUUCCUCUAACCCAAUGACCUUCGUCCUCAUGCCUUCAUCGUCCGAGACCGUUCAUCGCCUUCAUCGCCUUCAUCCUCAUCUGUCGAACCCUAAAUCUAAAAUCACCCUCCCCUCACUAGAACCCUAACUCUCUAAGUCUCUUCUCUCGCUCUCUUAUCUGUCUUUUAGUUUUCUCUUUCGUCACUCUCUUCUCUCCCUCGCACACGCCAGAACCGCCGUCGCACAGAAUUCCCUUCGCACACGCCAUCGCAGACUCGCACGUCUCGCGGUCUCGGUCCAAGGCAUGUUCUCCUCGCAUAUCGUCUCUGUCCCAUGAACGUCUGCGUCCUACUCUCCCGUCCUGUGAGCGUCGCUGUCCUCCCCGUCCCGUGAACGUUGCUGUCCUUCCCCUCCCGUGAACGCCGCUGUCGUUCUUCCUGAUUCCUGGUCGCUUAUCCCUUGCGCCGUUGGCUUCGGUGGCACCAUUUUGCUGUGCGUAGCUUUGGCCUACUUCAUCUCCGACCGCUGUUGGACGAAGAAGAAACCGAUUAUGAAGAAAAACAGAGGAGUGGUUGCUCUUCAAAUUAUCCAAGAAUUUUGCCACCAUCAACAGGGCCAACAUUUCCUUCAUUUGGAACGUUGAAGCAUCUGGAGCUUGGCUUAGUUGCUGGUGAAAUUGUUAGUCAUACUUCUCAAGUCACCAAUUCUCAAGACUUUAAUUUUAAAGGACUAAAAUCUAAAUUUGACCAAGAGCCUUUUAGCUCUGCUGAUGUGCCUGAGUGUUUGCAAAAUACCUUGGAGGUUGUGAAAUUUGGAGAAGUACAUGGACUUGAGCAUGAAUUGUGGUUAGCUAAAUUUGUGAUGGAAAAUGGUUUGGUCCUGAAGAGGAUGAGUUUCUUUGUUCCUUCCUGGUUAGGCAAUUUUAAUGCCAUUGAAGAAUUUAAAGAGAAGCAAUUAUCUUUCAAGAAACCUUUUAGUUUUGCUUUUGUUGAAUUCUCAUAUCCUCAAGAAUAUUACAAGGUUGCCGUUAGUACUACAAUCGGAAUUACGGUAAUGGGAUUUAUUGGCUUCUUCGUCAAGCUCAUCUUCAUUCCCAUUAACACAACAUCAUUGUCAGAUCUGGUUAGGAUGAAGAGAGCCACAAUCACACACAGUUUUAAAGCAAAUGGUAGUAGGAGUUCUUCCCCCAUCAACUUUUUGUUAAUCAUAGUUCUGCUGUAUAUCACUUUUUGUUUUUCCAUCCUUCAUAUCUUUGGGAGCAUUACAGUUUUAAUUUAAAUUAUUAUUAUAGCAUGUAAAUAAUGCAUGUAAAUCAAUAUAAAGUCAAUUCUUAUGCCU